GACAGAGGCCUCGAGCGUUAGGCGGAAUCACUGGGCUUAAAGCGUGUGUAGGCGGACCCCUAAGUGUCUUGUGAAAUCCCACGGCUCACCCGUGGAACCGCUGGGCAUACUGGGGGUCUUGGGCCAUUCAGGGGCGACUGGAACAAGCGGUGGAGCGGUGAAAUGCGUAGAUAUCGCUUGGAACGCCGACGGUGAAAACAGGUCGCUGGGAAUGUGCCGACGCUGAGACACGAAAGCCAGGGGAGCAAACGGG
rnacentral:rRNA from 1 species